GRURGRRRCCGRCCUGGSUCRCRCCGGUUURRACUCRGRUCRUGUAARGUUUUAAAAGUCGAACAGACUUAAUCUAUUAGCUUCUACACCAAUAAUUCACUUUAAUCCAACAUCGAGGUCGCAAACUUUUUUUUUGAUAAGAACUCUAAAAAAAAUAACGCUGUUAUCCCUAAGGUAAUUCAAUCUUUCAAUCUAAAUAAUAGGAUCAUUGAUUCAUAAAUAAAUGGAAUUAUACAAGAAAAGUUUUUUUAAUUUUCCUAUCACCCCAACAAAAUACUUUUAUAAAAAAUUAAAUUUUUAAUGCUUUAAAUCUAACUUUUCAUUUAAAUAUAAAACUCUAUAGGGUCUUCUCGUCUUCUAUGUGCAUUUAAGCUUUUUGACUUAAAAAUAAAAUUUUAAUAAAUCCUUCUAGAGACAGAAAUUUUUUCAUCAAACCUUUCAUUCAAGCUUUCAAUUAAAAAACUAAUGAUUAUGCUACCUUUGCACGGUCAGAAUACCGCGGCCAUUUAAUUUACUCAUAGGGCAGGCCARACUUGAAAUUAUAAUCAACAAGCCAUGUUUUUAAUAAACAGG
rnacentral:rRNA from 1 species